rnacentral:lncRNA from 1 species
GUCUACCUCUGUUAGGGACUGUGUGGGGUGUAGCAGAAAGGAUGCAGACUACUGGCUCUCAGAGGAUUGCUACCUGGUGAGAGUGGACACACAAGAGAGCCUGAGAGCUUUAACUGAGAGUUGAAGUUAUUCUGGAGGAGGAAGAAGGUGGUGUGACCAACCCAUGAGGGUUUGCAUCGGGGGACAAAUGUUGAGUGCAGCAUUUGAAUGGCACGCCGUCUUCUCCAGACAGGCAAGAAGAAAGAGGGCUUUGUAGCUAGAGGAAGAGCAUGCGCAAUGGCAAGGGAGACGCAAAGGCUCAGUGUUUGCCCAGAGUGAGCUGCUUUUGGAGUGGUCAUGAAUUAAAAUGGAUAUCCAACUGUUCCAUGAGGCAACGAAUGGGGAUUUUACAUAUUAAAUCAGCAUUGUCUGCUGGAGCUCUCUGCUACCUGGGAAGGCUCUGCAUUUGGGCUGUCAAAGCCACAAGCUCAGACAAUGAAGAUGGCAAACUGAAGGUGAACACUUCUUUCAAGUCAGUCACAAGAGGCUUAUGUGUUGGACUGUGUCUAUGGAUAUCCUAUUGCAGAACAUGGCGUUAGAUUAGUGAGAGCAGGGCAAAAAACUUCAUCUUUCAUGAGUGCAAUUUCAAACUUGGUGCCAACGAGAGACAUCUUCCCUGGACUCAAAUGCGCGAAGCCUGAACAGGACAUCUUGAGUGUUAGCUUCUCUGGGAUGGCUGCGGUGUGCAGCACAUUUUUGUUAAGGUGUUAUUCAAAGUUUCUGAUUAACAUAAGUUUUUCUUAAAAUUAUACAAAAACAUAAUACCAUGAUUAUGGAAAUAAAAAGCCACCCACAAGCUUACUAUCUUUACAAACCA